CCUACGGGGGGCAGCAGUGAGGAAUAUUGGUCAAUGGGCGCGAGCCUGAACCAGCCAAGUAGCGUGAAGGAUGACUGCCCUACGGGCUGUAAACUUCUUUUAUAAAGGAAUACAGUGAGGCACGUGUGCCUUUUUGUAUGUACUUUAUGAUUAAGGAUCGGCUAACUCCGUGUCAGCAGCCGCGGUACUACGGAGGAUCCGAGCGUUAUCCGGUUUUAGUGGGUUGAAAGGGAGAGUAGAUGGGUUGUUAAGUCAGUUGUGAAAGUUUGCGGCUCAACCGUAAAAUUGCAAUGGAUACUGGCAGCCUUGAGUGCAGUUGAGGUGGGCGGAAUUCGUGGUGUAGCGGUGAAAUGCUUAGAUAUCACGAAGAACUCCGAUGGCGAAGGCAGCCUACUAACCUGCCACUGACAUUGAUGCUCGAAAGUGUGGGUAUCAAACAGGAUUAGAUACCCGUGUAGUC
rnacentral:rRNA from 1 species